rnacentral:rRNA from 1 species
CGGCGGACGGGUGAGUAACGCGUGGGUAAUCUGCCCCAUACAGGGGGAUAACAGUUAGAAAUGACUGCUAAUACCGCAUAAGCGCACAGGACCGCAUGGUCCGGUGUGAAAAACUCCGGUGGUAUGAGAUGGACCCGCGUCUGAUUAGCUGGUUGGCGGGGUAACGGCCCACCAAGGCGACGAUCAGUAGCCGACCUGAGAGGGUGGCCGGCCACAUUGGGACUGAGACACGGCCCAAACUCCUACGGAAGGCAGCAG